UCCCUGGUGGCUCAGUGGUAAAGAACCUGCUUGCCAGUGCAGGAGACAUGGGUCCCAUCCCCGACCGGGGAA
rnacentral:tRNA from 1 species